GUUAUUUGUUAUUACAUCAGUUUUUACUUUUAUAAAAAUUAAUGGUACAUAAAGUUGAAUGCUUGAUUGUCUCAAGAAGUCAUUUUGGUGUCAGAGCUCUCUAGCUUUGAAAAAAACUAUACGAGCUGUAAAUUAGUCCGCAUCUAGAGUUUUGAAAUUAUAAAUUUCUCUACUCAAACGCGCCUAAUAACGCGUAACAUUGUUUAUUAAACAUUUUAGUUAUAAUCAGAAACUAAAAAUACAAGGCGUACAUAUUCUCAAAGAACGCAACGACUUUAUACUACAAUACAAAACUGCUUAUCAUUUAAAAUUUAGACUUUAAAAACUGUUCUUUAAGAUUCUCAUUAUUCUGGUUGAAAGAUCAAGAACCGGUAAAAGUUAAACCUUGUGAAGUAAAAAACAAAUUUAUGGAAGAUAUUUCACAUCUUGUUAGUUUGAAGAUGUCUUCAUUUUUUACUUGUGGAAACACUUUAGGGUUACUCAACCAACUAUACUCUUUAGCUUGUUGUUAGGGUCUUUAGCUUGUUGUUAGGGUCUUUAGCUUGUUGUUCAAUCUAUAUGCAUUCGAAUUCAACUUAACUUGUAAAAAAGAAUAAAAGAGUUUUUCCAAUAUUAAUUUUAUUGAGUCUGUUUAUUAAUCCUAAUCGAAUGAGUUGCAAAAAUUAAUCCAGAUGGUUUUCUUAAAAAUAUAAAUGUUAACUAACUGUAUUAGAAAAACAGUCGUUAAAUUGUAUUAUUAUAGAGGGGCGCCUAAUUGCUGCUAUACCCCAGGCGUCAUGAAUGCUCUCGGCAGCCCUGUUAAAAAUCAAAAGUAGAACAUAGAAAGAGUUGCAUUGUCAUUAGCGAAGUACUUGGUUGGAGCAAAACGUAUCGAUGUAAUAUACGAUAUAAACGAAGAAGUGUACUAUGGAGAUACAUUUUACGGCUAUACCGCGCAUUUAUGCAACAUUUUUAUUGUUUUGCUUUAUCAAGGUUUUUAUUUUUUGAGUGUUUUGUGUUUCACUCAAACGAUUAAAUCAGACCAAGCGACCCAAACAGAAUUUUAUGACAUAUGCUAAUCUGUGUAUUAUUUUGGUUUUAUUUGUAUUAUAGUUUUUUUUAUGACUAAGAUGCGUGUUAUGUUGAAUCAGUGGUUAUAAGAAUCUGUUUUUUUUUAUUUAUUAGGGUAUAAUGUUCAUUUAUGAACACUUAUUUUUACUUUACGAUGUUUUUGAAUUUUUGAGUGUUUAGUGUUUAGGUCCAAAGAACUAAUCAGAUCCAAACAGAAUUAUAUUUAAAUAUAUGCUGAUAUGUUUAUUAUUUUGGUUUUAUUUGCAUCAUAUUAAUUUUCAGACUAAAAUGUAUUGUGUGUUACGUUGGAUCAGUUAUUAUUAGAAUCAGUUUUUUUGUUUA